UCUCAUAUUAUUCUAUUAUGAUAUAACCUCAGAUUUUUACGCCGUUAUAAUUGUGUAACUUUUCGAAUUUUGUUUUUUCAUUUUCGUAAAUCACAUCCAGAAAAAUGUUCAAAAUUAUGUAACGAAAUUAAGAACGAGUGUCUUCCGUUUAACAUGUGUCGAAAACUCAACAAUCUCAAAGAAAAAAAAAAAUCUGAUUUAUACAAUAUACAAUAGGUACCACUAAUAAAAUACCCAAACAUAUAUUGUAAAAUAUUUAUCACGUUAUUUUUGAUUUUAAUAUAAAACGAAAAGAAUAAUUAACAAACGGUUUCAUUUUUAUCAGUUGAAAACCGCGAACAUAUAGUGACCUCACCAUUAUCCUUUACCUCGUGCAAUCUCGCCUUUCACAUCACCUAUAUCCAUCACCAUUUCUUUGUCUAAUCCACACACGCUUUCAUUAUAUCUCCUUAUAAUCCCUAGUCAUAUCUUCUUUAGUCUAUACCUAUUCCACAGUUUCCAUUUAAACUUAAUGUACUUAUAUCAUCGUUACUCCUUAUUUCAACAUGCUGAUAUUAUCUCAAUUCGUCAUCACUCAAUUGUCCUGCUAUACCUACUCCUGAUUCUCCUAGAAUAGCUAGGUAAAAACCGUCACAGGUUGAUAAACAUUCCAAAACAAUAAAUAAAUUAUUAUUCCAUGUAUUCCGUAUAUUAUGUACAUAAUCUUAUCAUAUUAUAGAAUUCAUGAAUAAUGGCGUUGAAAAGACCAAUCAAAAUUAUUCGUCAUAUUUGACAUAAUAUUUAUUUUGUAGAUAUUAUGACAAUGAAUUUCAUUAAAUAAAUCUAUGACUUAUCCCAGUUAAUGGUGGUAAACGUCCUGAGGUUAUCAGUUUAUGACUGAUAAAACAAUAAACAAAUUUUAAAUUAUAUAGUUUCAAUAUUAUAAUUAUUAAGAAAUACGUAGAGUCAUGGUGUGAACACUUUUAAAUUGAUUGAUAUAUAUUAUUAUAAUGAUGGAUUUCAGAUUAUUAAAUCCAAUGAAUAAUAUUGUACUGGCUACUGACUAAAUAUUUCAAAUAUGAAGAAAUAGAAUUUUUUAAAUUUUUUUUUAAUUAAAUAAAUUUAUAAAAUU